rnacentral:rRNA from 1 species
CAUUAUUGAAUAAACUUGAACAAGCUGUUUUUUUUUUGCUGGCUUCUUUGGAGGCAUGUGCACGCUUGUCAUCUUUAUGUUUCCAACUUGUGCACUUAUUGUAAAUCUUGGAAGUUUGAAUUAUUUUCUAUAGAUUGAGGACUGCUGUGCUUUACAAAAAAAGGUCAGCUUUGCCUUGUAUUUCCAGAUCUAUGUUUAUUAUCACAAACCUCUUAAUAUGUUAAAAAUGUUGAAAAAGAGUUUAUAAUAAUUUAUACAACUUUCAGCAACGGAUCUCUUGGCUCUCGCAUCGAUGAAGAACGCAGCGAAAUGCGAUAAGUAAUGUGAAUUGCAAAAUUCAGUGAAUCAUCGAAUCUUUGAACGCAUCUUGCGCUUCUUGGUAUUCCGAGGAGCAUGCCUGUUUGAGUGUCAUUAAAUUCUCAACCAUAUUAAAUUCUUUUGAUAUGGCUUGGUUAUUGGAAGCCUGCAGGUCCUUUUUCAUAUGGGUCUGCUCUUCUAAAAUGCAUUAGUGGAGCAAAGGCUACUUACAGAUGUGAUAAUUAUUUACAUCUCUACAGCAAAUCAUGCCACUACUAACAAAAGUUGAACAUGUAUUAUAUAUUUGACCUCAAAUCAGGUAGGAGUACCCGCUGAACUUAAGCAUAUCAAUAAGCGGAGGAAAAGAAACUAACAAGGAUUCCCUUAGUAACUGCGAGUGAAGUGGGAAAAGCUCAAAUUUGAAAUCUGGCAGUUCUUGACUGUCCGANUUGUAAUCUAGAGAAG